UAGGGAAUUUUGCGCAAUGGGCGAAAGCCUGACGCAGCAACGCCGCGUGAUUGAUGAAGCUUCUAGGAGCGUAAAGAUCUGUCAUGAGGGAAGAAAAGUUCAAAGGUAAAUAAUUUUUGUUCUUGACGGUACCUCAUAAGAAAGCACCGGCUAACUUCGUGCCAGCAGCCGCGGUAAUACGAGGGGUGCUAGCGUUGUCCGGAAUUAUUGGGCGUAAAGGGUCCGUAGGCGACUUGAUAAGUCAAUUGUUAAAUACAUCGGCUUAACCGAUGGAGUGCAGUUGAAACUAUCAGGAUAGAGUUUAGGAGAGGAAAGUGGAAUUUCUGGUGUAGCGGUGACAUGCGUAGAUAUCAGAAGGAACACCAAUGGCGAAGGCAACUUUCUGGCCUAAAACUGACGCUGAGGGACGAAAGCGUGGGGAGCGAACAGG
rnacentral:rRNA from 1 species